rnacentral:rRNA from 1 species
GAUGAACGCUGGCGGUAUGCUUAACACAUGCAAGUCGAACGGUCACUUCGGUGAUAGUGGCGGACGGGUGAGUAACGCGUGAGAAUCUGUACUCAGGUCGGGGACAACAGUUAGAAAUGACUGCUAAUACCGGAUGUGCCUUUGGCUGAAAGAUUUAUUGCCUGAAAAAGAGCUCGCGUCAGAUUAGCUAGUAGGUGGUGUAAGAGACUACCUAGGCUCCGAUCUGUAGCUGGUCUGAGAGGACGAUCAGCCACACUUGAACUGAGACACGGUCCAGACUCCUACGGAGGGCAGCAGUAGGGAAUUUUCCGCAAGGGGCGCAAGCCUGGCGGAGCAAUACCGCGUAAGGGACGAAGGCUUUUGGGUCGUAAACCUCUUUUCUCAAGGAAGAGGAUGACGGUACUUGAGGAAUAAGCAUCGGCUAACUCUGUG